GGGCGAAUGCGGAUACUGCGCUUACGCUUUAGCUUUGGUUGAAGAACCUGUUCGUCCUCACCUUCCUCAUGGUCAUGAAUACAACUUCCUGAUGGUUGGAGUUCCAUAUGUGAAUCACCAGAUAUUGCGAUUUCUCCUUCCUCUAGCUCAUCCAGCAUCUUUUUUGAGAGAGGACCAGGCCUGGCAUCUAAAGCAGAAAGUGAUGCAAACUUUUGAGAGGUAGUUGAAGUAGCAACAGGCCGAGG
rnacentral:misc_RNA from 1 species